UACAGAGGUCUCAAGCGUUGUUCGGAUUCAUUGGGCGUAAAGGGUGCGUAGGCGGUGAAAUAAGUUGGAUGUGAAAUCCCGGAGCUUAACUCCGGAACUGCAUUCAAUACUGUUUUGCUAGAGUACUGGGAGAGGAGAUUGGAAUUCACGGUGUAGCAGUGAAAUGCGUAGAUAUCGUGAGGAAGACCAGUGGCGAAGGCGAAUCUCUGGACAGUUACUGACGCUGAGGCACGAAGGCCAGGGGAGCAAACGGG
rnacentral:rRNA from 1 species